GGGCUUGGUCAUUGUUUGUUAAACCUGGAUGAAACUCUUCCAAAUAAAAAUAUUUGUUCCAUUUUCCAUUAUCGGUGGUUUAUGACAAUCUGUCUUUGAAAAGAGAUGCUUGCUGUUGUUUUGAGGUAUUAGCGUGUGCAAUAAUUGACUUUCAUUAUGAGUCCCAUGCUUUUUUACAGACAAGCAUGCAGUAAUUGACUUUCACAACAGUAUAUCUGGACUGAGAUAUCCUCAUAUACAUGUUAAUGGAUGAAUUUUUGUUGCAGGAAGCAAAAGUAUUCAAGGAGU
rnacentral:misc_RNA from 1 species